rnacentral:rRNA from 1 species
CUGGAGGUAUCAGAAGUGCGAAUGCUGACAUGAGUAACGACAAAGGGGGUGAAAAACCUCCUCGCCGGAAGACCAAGGGUUCCUGUCCAACGUUAAUCGGGGCAGGGUGAGUCGACCCCUAAGGUGAGGCCGAAAGGCGUAAUCGAUGGGAAACGGGUUAAUAUUCCCGUACUUCUGACUAUUGCGAUGGGGGGACGGAGAAGGCUAGGUGGGCCAGGCGACGGUUGUCCUGGUUCAAGUGCGUAGGCUUGAGAGUUAGGUAAAUCCGGCUCUCUCUAAGGCUGAGACACGACGUCGAGCUGCUACGGCAGUGAAGUCAUUGAUGCCAUGCUUCCAGGAAAAGCCUCUAAGCUUCAGAUAGUCAGGAAUCGUACCCCAAACCGACACAGGUGGUCGGGUAGAGAAUACCAAGGCGCUUGAGAGAACUCGGGUGAAGGAACUAGGCAAAAUGGUACCGUAACUUCGGGAGAAGGUACGCUCUUGAUGGUGAAGUCCCUCGCGGAUGGAGCUGACGAGAGUCGCAGAUACCAGGUGGCUGCAACUGUUUAUUAAAAACACAGCACUGUGCAAAAUCGCAAGAUGACGUAUACGGUGUGACGCCUGCCCGGUGCCGGAAGGUUAAUUGAUGGGGUUAGCGCAAGCGAAGCUCUUGAUCGAAGCCCCGGUAAACGGCGGCCGUAACUAUAACGGUCCUAAGGUAGCGAAAUUCCUUGUCGGGUAAGUUCCGACCUGCACGAAUGGCGUAAUGAUGGCCACGCUGUCUCCACCCGAGACUCAGUGAAAUUGAAAUCGCUGUGAAGAUGCAGUGUACCCGCGGCUAGACGGAAAGACCCCGUGAACCUUUACUACAGCUUGGCACUGAACAUUGAACCUACAUGUGUAGGAUAGGUGGGAGGCUAUGAAGACGUGACGCCAGUUGCGUUGGAGCCGUCCUUGAAAUACCACCCUUGUAUGUUUGAUGUUCUAACUUAGACCCAUUAUCUGGGUUGAGGACAGUGCCUGGUGGGUAGUUUGACUGGGGCGGUCUCCUCCCAAAGAGUAACGGAGGAGCACGAAGGUGGGCUAAUCACGGUUGGACAUCGUGAGGUUAGUGCAAUGGCAUAAGCCCGCUUAACUGCGAGAAUGACGGUUCGAGCAGGUGCGAAAGCAGGUCAUAGUGAUCCGGUGGUUCUGUAUGGAAGGGCCAUCGCUCAACGGAUAAAAGGUACUCCGGGGAUAACAGGCUGAUACCGCCCAAGAGUUCAUAUCGACGGCGGUGUUUGGCACCUCGAUGUCGGCUCAUCACAUCCUGGGGCUGAAGUCGGUCCCAAGGGUAUGGCUGUUCGCCAUUUAAAGUGGUACGCGAGCUGGGUUUAGAACGUCGUGAGACAGUUCGGUCCCUAUCUGCCGUGGGCGUUGGAAGAUUGAAGGGGGCUGCUCCUAGUACGAGAGGACCGGAGUGGACGAACCUCUGGUGUUCGGGUUGUGUCGCCAGACGCAUUGCCCGGUAGCUAAGUUCGGAAUUGAUAAGCGCUGAAAGCAUCUAAGCGCGAAGCGAGCCCUGAGAUGAGUCUUCCCUGAUACUUUAAGUAUCCUAAAGGGUUGUUCGAGACUAGAACGUUGAUAGGCAGGGUGUGUAAGCGUUGUGAGGCGUUGAGCUAACCUGUACUAAUUGCCCGUGAGGCUUAACCAUACAACACCCAAGGGGUUUUGUA